GACGAACGCUGGCGGCGCGCUUAACACAUGCAAGUCGAACGAAGGCAUCAGCUUCGGUUGGUGUCUUAGUGGCGCACGGGUGAGUAACGCGUGGGAACCUACCUUAAGGUACGGGACAACAGUUGGAAACGGCUGCUAAUACCGUAUGUGCCCUUUGGGGGAAGGAUUUAUCGCCUUAGGAUGGGCCCGCGUUGGAUUAGCUAGUUGGUGGGGUAAAGGCCUACCAAGGCAACGAUCUAUAGCUGGUUUGAGAGGAUGAUCAGCCACACUGGGACUGAGACACGGCCCAGACUCCUACGGGAGGCAGCAGUGAGGAAUCUUGGACAAUGGGGGCAACCCUGAUCCAGCGACGCCGCGUGGGUGAUGAAGGCCUUCGGGCUGUAAACCCCUUUUAUCUGUGAAGAUGAUGACGGUAGCAGAUGAAUAAGCACCGGCUAACUCCG
rnacentral:rRNA from 1 species